GCAGCUACUGAAAGGCAGAUCCAUCAGCUUCUUCAAAUUCCUACAAAAAAAGGGUUCUGGCAAUAGGUAGGAGUGCCUAUUUCUAGUGAUGCAUUGAGACCAUUUUAUUUUACUUGCUGUAUAAGGUGGAAAAGAGGAUAACGGGUUGCAAUGGGAUGAUCAGUUAUAUUAUGACCUUCGCCCGGUUGAAGUUGAAUCACUUGAUCAUGUUUUGUCUUGGCUGCCUUUCUUGAAUGGAUUUUGUCUUGGUUCUUUGCUGGUGUGGGUCGACACUACGUCUGAUGCUUUGGUGGAACCAAACUCAUGUUGU
rnacentral:lncRNA from 1 species